rnacentral:lncRNA from 1 species
AAUUUGCUCCAGCUUCUUCCCCUCCGGCUGCUGCUCCAGUGAGUACCCCACCGGCUCCAGUUCCUGUGAGCCCUCCUCUAGCCAAAUCGCCACCGGCUGCUGCACCAACAACUCCUCCAGAGAGCUCGGCCUCUCCUCCUGCUCCUGUUGCGGCUCCAACAACUGCCGAGGUUCCUGCACCAGCUCCAAGCAAGAGCAAGGGCAAAAAGAAGUCAAAGAAACACGGUGCUCCCGCUCCUUCACCUGAUAUGCUUGGACCUCCCGCUCCACCAACUGGCGCUCCAGGACCUAGCCUCGAUGCGUCCU